GCAUUCAGUCUCUGGGCA
rnacentral:snRNA from 1 species